rnacentral:rRNA from 1 species
GAUGAACGCUGGCGGCGUGCCUAAUACAUGCAAGUCGAGCGAACAGACGAGGAGCUUGCUCCUCUGACGUUAGCGGCGGACGGGUGAGUAACACGUGGAUAACCUACCUAUAAGACUGGGAUAACUUCGGGAAACCGGAGCUAAUACCGGAUAAUAUAUUGAACCGCAUGGUUCAAUAGUGAAAGACGGUUUUGCUGUCACUUAUAGAUGGAUCCGCGCCGCAUUAGCUAGUUGGUAAGGUAACGGCUUACCAAGGCAACGAUGCGUAGCCGAGCUGAGAGGGUGAUCGGCCACACUGGAGCUGAGACACGGUCCAGACACCUAGGGGAGGCAGCAGUAGGGAAUCGUGCGAAAUGGGCGAAAGACUGACGGAGCAACGGCGCGUGAGUGAUGAAGGUCCUCGGAUCGUAAAACUCUGUUAUUAGGGAAGAACAAAUGUGUAAGUAACUAUGCACGUCUUGACGGUACGUAAUCAGAAAGCCACGGCUAACUACGU